AGUGGGGCUGGACACAGGGUCGGU
rnacentral:piRNA from 1 species